UUAUUUUCUUAUUUCCCUCUCUCUUCUUUCUCUUUCUCUCUCGACACUUACAGAUCUUCUCUACUCUCUCAAAUCUCAUCCCUCAGUCCCUUACUCUCUGUGUUUCUCACACUCUCAAGUCUCACCUUCUCCGAUCUUUGCGGCUCCGCUUUUCGCCCUGGCGUCUCUGAUUCCGAUUCUCACCUCAGGGACUCCAUCUCUCACCCGGCGUAUCCAGAUCUCCGGCUCUCACUCAGGUGUCUACGGCUCUCUGUCCUCCGCUCUCUCAAGUCUCACCUUCGCCUUAGCUACUCAAAUAACUCCCGGAAACCUUAAAUCUCUUUUGGAGCUUUGACUUGACUUGUGAGUUGUGACCGCCGUCCACCAGUCUGCUACGCAAAGGCCACUGUCAAAGCUGCUUUGGCCAUGAAAAUCUUACAGGCUGCAAUGUUAUUGAUGGUUCAUUACUUCAUUGGUUCCUUUGCAUUUCUAUUAGCAACGAUAGAAUGGAAAAAUGGAAAAUUUGUAAAUCAGUGUUGUGGUGCAUUGAUGGGAUCAAAAGCUGCAGAGCCUGCAACAGAUAAUUAAGAACCUAAAAAAAACUAAAUAUGCUUUUGAUUUUGUUGACCCCAAAGCUAA